rnacentral:rRNA from 1 species
GAUGAACGCUGGCGGCGUGCCUAAUACAUGCAAGUCGAGCGAACAGACGCGGAGCUUGCUCCUCUGACGUUAGCGGCGGACGGGUGAGUAACACGUGGAUAACCUACCUAUAAGACUGGGAUAACUUCGGGAAACCGGAGCUAAUACCGGAUAAUAUAUUGAACCGGAUGGUUCAAUAGUGAAAGACGGUUUUGCUGUCACUUAUAGAUGGAUCCGCGCCGCAUUAGCUAGUUGGUAAGGUAACGGCUUACCAAGGCAGCGAUGCGUAGCCGACCUGAGAGGGUGGUUGGCGAACACGGAGGUGAGGAGCGGCGGCGAAGCCUCCGGGGGGCAGCAGUAGGGAAGAUUCCGGAACGGGGGGAAGACUGCCGGUGCAACGCCGCGGGGGGGGUGAAGGUGUUCGGCUCGUUAAAAUCUGCUUUUAGGGGAGAACCAAUGUUUAAGUGACUGUGCACGUCUUGACGGUAGCUAAUCAGAAAGCCACGGCUAACUACGUG